rnacentral:rRNA from 1 species
AGCAGCCGCGGUAAUUCCAGCUCCAAUAGCGUAUAUUAAAGUUGUUGCAGUUAAAAAGCUCGCAGUUGAAUUUCGGGAUCGAUAUGUCGGUCGUGCUUUUUGGUACGUACUGGCGUCAUCGGUUUCUCCUUUCUGACGGGCCGUGAUGUCAUUAAUUUGGUGUUACGGGUAGUUAGGACUGUUACUUUGAAAAAAUUAGAGUGUUUAAAGCAGGCAUUGGCUUGAAUACAUUAGCAUGGAAUAAUGAAAUAGGACGUUCGAUCCUAUUUUGUUGGUUUCUAGGAUCGACGUAAUGAUUAAUAGGGAUAGUUGGGGGCAUUAGUAUUCAAUUGUCAGAGGUGAAAUUCUUGGAUUUAUUGAAGACUAACUACUGCGAAAGCAUUUGCCGAGGAUGUUUUCAUUAAUCAAGAACGAAAGUUAGGGGAUCGAAGACGAUCAGAUACCGUCGUAGUCUUAACCAUAAACUAUGCCGACUAGGGAUCGGAUGAUGUUAAUUUUAUAAUGACUCA